GUCUGUCCGAUCGGGCAAUGACGCGAAGCUAUCAUACGCCAGAUUAUGGCUGAACGCCUCUAAGUCAGAAUCUGUACUAGAAACGACGAUUUUGGUCCCGCACAUGUUAGUUGUGUUUAAAUAGGCUUCGGCUGUGAACCAUACCUGGGGUAAGGCGGCUCUCGCGGAAAGGCGUGGGUCGUCUCCUCUAAUUGAAACGGAAUAUGGGCGGGGGUGAAUCCUUUGCAGACGACUUGAAUGGGGACGGGGUGCUGUAAGUGGUAGAGUAGCCUUGUUGCUACGAUCCACUGAGGCUAAGCCCUUGUUCUAUAGAUUUGU
rnacentral:ncRNA from 1 species